rnacentral:rRNA from 1 species
CAAUAGCGUAUAUUAAAGUUGUUGCGGUUAAAAAGCUCGUAGUUGGAUUUCUGUGGUAGGCAGCCGGUCCACACUAUGUGUGAGUAUCUGGUUCGGCUACUGCAUCCUCCUGAGGAACGUUGGUGCGCUUCACUGCGUGGCACGGUAUUCAGGACUUUUACUUUGAGGAAAUUAGAGUGUUCACGGCAGGCGUUUGCCCUGAAUAUAUUAGCAUGGAAUAAUGAUAUAGGAUCCACGUCCUAUUUUGUUGGUUUCUAGGACUAAAGUAAUGAUUGAUAGGGAUAGUUGGGGGUGCUAGUAUUCAGCGGCCAGAGGUGAAAUUCUUGGAUUCGCUGAAGACUAACUUAUGCGAAAGCAUUCACCAAGGAUGUCUUCUUUAAUCAAGAACGAAAGUUGGGGGAUCGAAGACGAUUAGAUACCAU